AAGGUGGACUGGAUGGUCGCUGGUUCGCUUGUCGAACGAGAGGAAAGUCCGGGCUUCGCAGAGCACAAUGGUCGGUAACGCCGACCGACCGUAAGGUUAGGGAUAGUGCAACAGAAAGUAGACCGCCCGCUACGCGGGUAAGGGUGAAACGGUGAGGUAAGAGCUCACCAGCAUAUCAGG
rnacentral:RNase_P_RNA from 1 species